GGAUUUUCCCGAAAGAAGAAUAUUUUAAAGCCAAGCUAUCCUUUGAAAAGCAAAAAUGUCCUCCUAAUUAUUUUUUUAACUGGAAAUCGUAACAAUAAGGAUGGGAAGAUACUGCAUUGUGAGUAUUUUCUUUCCCAGAACUCACUGCACCAAAGAUGUUAAAAGUGCAUUCUAAGUUUUAUCCAGAAGGUUUUGCAGGAGAAUGUCAGAAAACAAUGCAGGAGUUUUGGAUGCUACCCUAGCACCACCACUACCAUCACCAUCAAAAUUAACAUUUGCUAUACCCAUAGAUGGAAAUGCUAAUAAAUGCAUUAUGUUUCUGAUACAAUAGAAUAAUGAGGGGGCUCAGGAAGAAAAGCUACAGCAAUGUUUACAUAUUUCUGAAUGGGAAGCAGUUCUACUUUAAAUCCUGACCUCUUAGGCAGUGGUGGGAUUCAAAUAAUUUAACAACCAGUUCUCUGCUCUAAUGACUGGCUGGGUGAGCAUGGUUGGGUUGUCAUCUGACUGGGUGGGCGUGGCUGGGUGGGCAUGUGACUGAGUGGGCACAGCCAACUCAACAUCACUUCUUUGUCCUAAUAACUGUUUUAAGUAUAAAAAAAGAUAUACCAAAAGGUAGUUUAUUAUUUCAUGCAUUUAAUACUUAAAUAAGAAUAAUAAAAGAGGUACACAAAACUAGAUUUUGUUACAAGAAAGAGUUUUACAAUAUUAAUGAAAAACUGUUAAAUACCUGACAAAAAAACACAAUAAAACUGUUAUUUAAGGUA